UACGUAUGGAGCAAGCGUUAUCCGGAUUUACUGGGUGUAAAGGGAGCGCAGGCGGCUUUGCAAGUCUGAUGUGUAAGGCCGGGGCUCAACCCCGGGACUGCAUUGGAAACUGUAAAGCUAGAGUGCCGGAGAGGUAAGCGGAAUUCCUAGUGUAGCGGUGAAAUGCGUAGAUAUUAGGAGGAACACCAGUGGCGAAGGCGGCUUACUGGACGGCAACUGACGCUGAGGCUCGAAAGCGUGGGGAGCAAACAGG
rnacentral:rRNA from 1 species